UACGUAGGGUCCGAGCGUUAAUCGGAAUUACUGGGCGUAAAGCGUGCGCAGGCGGUUUUGUAAGCCAGAUGUGAAAUCCCCGGGCUUAACCUGGGAAUGGCAUUUGGGACUGCAAGGCUCGAGUGCGGCAGAGGAGACUGGAAUUCCUGGUGUAGCAGUGAAAUGCGUAGAUAUCAGGAGGAACACCGAUGGCGAAGGCAGGUCUCCUGGGCUGACACUGACGCUCAUGCACGAAAGCGUGGGGAGCG
rnacentral:rRNA from 1 species